GAGGUCUUGGGAAUGAUGGUAAUUCUGCAUUGCCGAGGAUGGGAGAGAAAAGGAUCUCUUGUUAGUAGUGAAAUAAGUACAGACUGAAGUAGAUGAUAACCUUUUCCUGGGGUUAGUCAAUGGGAAAUAAAUUUUUGAUUAGGAACCAUAAAAGAAGAUGAUUUUUGAUCACUGCCAAAGUAGUGUCCUGUUAUAUCUGCCAACUGUGCAAAGUGAAUAAUUAUCAUUAGUCUUUCUGAGUGACAAGUUGCCAAACGGUAUGUGUGGGUAUGUGUGUACAUGCGUGUGUGUGUGUGUGUAUGUGUGUGUGAAUGUAGAGAUGUAGAUAAAGGAAUAGAGAAUUUUGUUCAUACUCUAGCCCUCUUUCUAGAACGGGCUUCUAUUGAAUUACCAUUUGUCUCAGUGUGGAAUCUCAUAAAUCUUGUACUUAAUCAAAUCCUUUUUUAUCAAAUUAUUGGGCCUGGGGAAAUGAUGACAGAUGAAACGGUGGUGUGGAAGAGCCAAGAUCAAGUAGAGGGCCUUUUACCUAUGGGUCAAUGGUUUAAAUCCAACCUUGUUGGCCGGUGGCUGAGGGUGGUCACUGUCCUACUGGUUGUGGGUUGGUGGCCAGAGCCCAGUUGUCAGCAGACUCCACAAUCUGCAGAAAAGCUGUGAGUCCAGUGGGACCCCCGGUGGGACCUGGGCUCAGCUCUCUAGCGACACUCUUUACCUUUAGGUGACAGGAGCUACAAGCUGCUGCAGAAAGGCCUGGCACUGACGCCGUUGGGUGAGUGAUCUGGAACUUCGAUCUUCUAGCUAUCAACAAAGAGAACUCAGGACUAAGGCAGAACUCACUGAAUUUCUCUUUAACUGGUAACAUUUUAAAAAGAAAGCUUUAAUAAGGAUUUUGGUUCUGUUUCAGGAAAAUGAGCCGCAGUUGUGCAAGUCAGUCUAACUUCAGAACUCAGCCCUAAGUGUAUCACCUUUACCCAGUCUCACCAUGACCUCUUGCGAGACCUGUUUGAGAUGCUCAGUCAAUACCGAAGUGGUGUAAGAGUCCUGGAAAGAACAAAGAUCUGAGUAUACUAGGUUGGGUGCCGGGAAACAAACUCAGCGGUGGAGCCUGGGACGUGCUCCCCGGGCCAUCUCCUGUGGGGGAGUAAAAGAAGAAGGAUGAGGCCGAGGGAGAAGUUAACGAUGGUGAAGCCACGGCAAAGGUCUCCGAGAACCCAGUGUGAAGCCCUUCAUCUGGAACAGCUGGGUCUUUGUAAACCUUCCUCAAAGGGCACCAGAGGCUGGCUGGCCCCGGGGGAGGGACAUGGUCUUGGGUAAGGAAGCUCCCUGUGACUAAGGGCAGCUAUCACUUGGGGAGGGACUCAGCCAGGAACCUUCAGCUACCACCAAGCCUAGCAGCUGGGGAACGAGUGUUGGGUCUUCACAGGGUGGAUCUGUGUUCACUACACCCUCAUUGUAGAAUUCCCAUCUGAGGAAAACAAGACCUUAUAGAGAAAUAAAAGCUGCAAGUAAGGUUAGGAGG